CGCGGGCGAUCUCCCGCGGUCCGCCCGAGGGUGGGGGUACGGCCCAUCAGGUUGUUGGCGGGGUAACGGCCCGCCAAGCCGAAGACGGGUAGGGGCGGUGAGAGCCGUGAGCCCCGAGAUGGGCACUGAGACAAGGGCCCAGGCCCUACGGGGUGCAGCAGGCGCGAAUACUCCGCAAUGCGGGCAACCGCGACGGGGCCACCCCGAGUGCCGGGCGAAGAGCCCGGCUUUUGCCCGGUGUAAGGAGCCGGGCGAAUAAGCGGGGGGUAAGUCUGGUGUCAGCCGCCGCGGUAAUACCAGCCCCGCGAGUGGUCAGGGUGAUUACUGGGCUUAAAGCGCCCGUAGCCGGCCCGGCAAGUCGCUCCUGAAAUCCCCAGGCUCAACCUGGGGGCAGGGGGCGAUACUGCCGGGCUAGGGGGCGGGAGAGGCCGCCGGUACUCCGGGGGUAGGGGCGAAAUCCUAUAAUCCCCGGAGGACCACCAGUGGCGAAAGCGGGCGGCCAGAACGCGCCCGACGGUGAGGGGCGAAAGCCGGGGGAGCAAAGGGGAUUAGAUACCCCUGUAGUCCCGGCCGUAAACGAUGCGGGCUAGCUGUCGGCCGGGCUUAGGGCCCGGCCGGUGGCGUAGGGAAACCGUUAAGCCCGCCGCCUGGGGAGUACGGCCGCAAGGCUGAAACUUAAAGGAAUUGGCGGGGGGGCACCACAAGGGGUGAAGCUUGCGGCUUAAUUGGAGUCAACGCCGGA
rnacentral:rRNA from 1 species